rnacentral:rRNA from 1 species
GGUUAAGCGACUAAGCGUACACGGUGGAUGCCCUGGCAGUCAGAGGCGAUGAAGGACGUGCUAAUCUGCGAUAAGCGUCGGUAAGGUGAUAUGAACCGUUAUAACCGGCGAUUUCCGAAUGGGGAAACCCAGUGUGUUUCGACACACUAUCAUUAACUGAAUCCAUAGGUUAAUGAGGCGAACCGGGGGAACUGAAACAUCUAAGUACCCCGAGGAAAAGAAAUCAACCGAGAUUCCCCCAGUAGCGGCGAGCGAACGGGGAGCAGCCCAGAGCCUGAAUCAGUGUGUGUGUUAGUGGAAGCGUCUGGAAAGGCGCGCGAUACAGGGUGACAGCCCCGUACACAAAAAUGCACAUGCUGUGAGCUCGAUGAGUAGGGCGGGACACGUGGUAUCCUGUCUGAAUAUGGGGGGACCAUCCUCCAAGGCUAAAUACUCCUGACUGACCGAUAGUGAACCAGUACCGUGAGGGAAAGGCGAAAAGAACCCCGGCGAGGGGAGUGAAAAAGAACCUGAAACCGUGUACGUACAAGCAGUGGGAGCACGCUUAGGCGUGUGACUGCGUACCUUUUGUAUAAUGGGUCAGCGACUUAUAUUCUGUAGCAAGGUUAACCGAAUAGGGGAGCCGAAGGGAAACCGAGUCUUAACUGGGCGUUAAGUUGCAGGGUAUAGACCCGAAACCCGGUGAUCUAGCCAUGGGCAGGUUGAAGGUUGGGUAACACUAACUGGAGGACCGAACCGACUAAUGUUGAAAAAUUAGCGGAUGACUUGUGGCUGGGGGUGAAAGGCCAAUCAAACCGGGAGAUAGCUGGUUCUCCCCGAAAGCUAUUUAGGUAGCGCCUCGUGAAUUCAUCUCCGGGGGUAGAGCACUGUUUCGGCAAGGGGGUCAUCCCGACUUACCAACCCGAUGCAAACUGCGAAUACCGGAGAAUGUUAUCACGGGAGACACACGGCGGGUGCUAACGUCCGUCGUGAAGAGGGAAACAACCCAGACCGCCAGCUAAGGUCCCAAAGUCAUGGUUAAGUGGGAAACGAUGUGGGAAGGCCCAGACAGCCAGGAUGUUGGCUUAGAAGCAGCCAUCAUUUAAAGAAAGCGUAAUAGCUCACUGGUCGAGUCGGCCUGCGCGGAAGAUGUAACGGGGCUAAACCAUGCACCGAAGCUGCGGCAGCGACACUAUGUGUUGUUGGGUAGGGGAGCGUUCUGUAAGCCUGUGAAGGUGUGCUGUGAGGCAUGCUGGAGGUAUCAGAAGUGCGAAUGCUGACAUAAGUAACGAUAAAGCGGGUGAAAAGCCCGCUCGCCGGAAGACCAAGGGUUCCUGUCCAACGUUAAUCGGGGCAGGGUGAGUCGACCCCUAAGGCGAGGCCGAAAGGCGUAGUCGAUGGGAAACAGGUUAAUAUUCCUGUACUUGGUGUUACUGCGAAGGGGGGACGGAGAAGGCUAUGUUGGCCGGGCGACGGUUGUCCCGGUUUAAGCGUGUAGGCUGGUUUUCCAGGCAAAUCCGGAAAAUCAAGGCUGAGGCGUGAUGACGAGGCACUACGGUGCUGAAGCAACAAAUGCCCUGCUUCCAGGAAAAGCCUCUAAGCAUCAGGUAACAUCAAAUCGUACCCCAAACCGACACAGGUGGUCAGGUAGAGAAUACCAAGGCGCUUGAGAGAACUCGGGUGAAGGAACUAGGCAAAAUGGUGCCGUAACUUCGGGAGAAGGCACGCUGAUAUGUAGGUGAAGCGACUUGCUCGUGGAGCUGAAAUCAGUCGAAGAUACCAGCUGGCUGCAACUGUUUAUUAAAAACACAGCACUGUGCAAACACGAAAGUGGACGUAUACGGUGUGACGCCUGCCCGGUGCCGGAAGGUUAAUUGAUGGGGUUAGCGCAAGCGAAGCUCUUGAUCGAAGCCCCGGUAAACGGCGGCCGUAACUAUAACGGUCCUAAGGUAGCGAAAUUCCUUGUCGGGUAAGUUCCGACCUGCACGAAUGGCGUAAUGAUGGCCAGGCUGUCUCCACCCGAGACUCAGUGAAAUUGAACUCGCUGUGAAGAUGCAGUGUACCCGCGGCAAGACGGAAAGACCCCGUGAACCUUUACUAUAGCUUGACACUGAACAUUGAGCCUUGAUGUGUAGGAUAGGUGGGAGGCUUAGAAGUGUGGACGCCAGUCUGCAUGGAGCCGACCUUGAAAUACCACCCUUUAAUGUUUGAUGUUCUAACGUUGACCCGUAAUCCGGGUUGCGGACAGUGUCUGGUGGGUAGUUUGACUGGGGCGGUCUCCUCCUAAAGAGUAACGGAGGAGCACGAAGGUUGGCUAAUCCUGGUCGGACAUCAGGAGGUUAGUGCAAUGGCAUAAGCCAGCUUGACUGCGAGCGUGACGGCGCGAGCAGGUGCGAAAGCAGGUCAUAGUGAUCCGGUGGUUCUGAAUGGAAGGGCCAUCGCUCAACGGAUAAAAGGUACUCCGGGGAUAACAGGCUGAUACCGCCCAAGAGUUCAUAUCGACGGCGGUGUUUGGCACCUCGAUGUCGGCUCAUCACAUCCUGGGGCUGAAGUAGGUCCCAAGGGUAUGGCUGUUCGCCAUUUAAAGUGGUACGCGAGCUGGGUUUAGAACGUCGUGAGACAGUUCGGUCCCUAUCUGCCGUGGGCGCUGGAGAACUGAGGGGGGCUGCUCCUAGUACGAGAGGACCGGAGUGGACGCAUCACUGGUGUUCGGGUUGUCAUGCCAAUGGCACUGCCCGGUAGCUAAAUGCGGAAGAGAUAAGUGCUGAAAGCAUCUAAGCACGAAACUUGCCCCGAGAUGAGUUCUCCCUGACCCUUUAAGGGUCCUGAAGGAACGUUGAAGACGACGACGUUGAUAGGCCGGGUGUGUAAGCGCAGCGAUGCGUUGAGCUAACCGGUACUAAUGAACCGUGAGGCUUAACCUU